CCUACGGGAGGCUGCAGUGGGGAAUUUUGGACAAUGGGGGCAACCCUGAUCCAGCCAUUCCGCGUGAGUGAAGAAGGCCUUCGGGUUGUAAAGCUCUUUCGGCCGGGAAGAAAUCGUGCGGGCCAAUACCCUGUAUGGAUGACGGUACCGGAAGAAGAAGCACCGGCUAACUACGUGCCAGCAGCCGCGGUAAUACGUAGGGUGCGUGCGUUAAUCGGAGGGACUGGGCGUAGUGGGUGAAGAGAGGGGUGAAAUCCCCGGGCUUAACCUGGGAACUGCGCUUGUGACUGCAAGACUUGAGUGCGGCAGAGGGGGGUGGAAUUCCACGUGUAGCAGUGAAAUGCGUAGAGAUGUGGAGGAACACCGAUGGCGAAGGCAGCCCCCUGGGUCGACACUGACGCUCAUGCACGAAAGCGUGGGGAGCAAACAGGAUUAGAUACCCGUGUAGUC
rnacentral:rRNA from 1 species